CCUACGGGUGGCAGCAGUGAGGAAUAUUGGUCAAUGGCCGGAAGGCUGAACCAGCCAAGCCGCGUGAAGGACGAAGGUGCCAAGCAUUGUAAACUUCUUUUGUCAAGGGACAAAAUCAGGCUCGAGAGCCUGACCGAGGGUACUUGAAGAAAAAGCAUCGGCUAACUCCGUGCCAGCAGCCGCGGUAAUACGGAGGAUGCGAGCGUUAUCCGGAUUUAUUGGGUUUAAAGGGUGCGCAGGCGGACGAUCAAGUCAGCGGUAAAAUCGAGGGGCUCAACCUCUUCGAGCCGUUGAAACUGGUUGUCUUGAGUGAGCGAGAGGUAUGCGGAAUGCGUGGUGUAGCGGUGAAAUGCAUAGAUAUCACGCAGAACUCCGAUUGCGAAGGCAGCAUACCGGCGCUCAACUGACGCUCAUGCACGAAAGUGUGGGUAUCGAACAGGAUUAGAUACCCCUGUAGUC
rnacentral:rRNA from 1 species